rnacentral:rRNA from 2 species
AUUAAUAAAAUUGUUUUGUAUUUUUUUUGAUUUGAAUUGAUUUUAAUUAAAUAAAUUUAAGUUAUUGUAAAGUAAAUUGAUUGAAUUAUUUUUACUAUAGUAAAUUAGUACUGUGAAGGAAUUUUUUUUAUAAAUUAUAUAUUAUAAUUAAUAAAAGGUAAUUUUAUUUAUUGUAUCUUGUGUAUCAGAAUAUAUUUAAAUGGAUUAUAAAUUUUUUUUUCUCGAAUUUAAAAGAUUUAAUUGAAAAUAUUAGUUAUUGUUGCAUAAUUAUUAAUAAUUUUUAAUUGGUAGUGAGAUGUUAUUCGUUUUUAAGGAUAUCUAGUUUUUUAAUAAAUGAAUUUAAUUCAAAAAGUAUAAUUUAUUAAAUAAUUUAUUAUUUUAAUAUUUUGUACUUUUAAUUUUAAGAGGGAUAAACUUUUUAAAAUAAAAUUAUAAUAAUAAGGAGAAAUGAAAAGGAUUUUAUUAAUUUAGAAUUUGUUAAUGAUUAAAGGAUGUUAAAAUUUAAUUCUUUGUUUGAAUGAUUUAUAUUUUUAUUUAAUUUUUAUAUUAAAAUGUUGAGUUUAAUUAAAAAAUUUUGGAAAAUAUGAUUUAAUUAGUAAAAUUUUGAUUUGUUUUGUUAAAUUGAUUGAUAUGUUAGUGUGAAGAAUUAGGCAAAAAUUUUGCUCACCUGUUUAUUAAAAACAUGGUUUCUUGUAUUUAUUUAAGAAAUUUGACCUGCCCACUGAAUGAAUUUUUAAAGGGCCGCAGUAUAUUGACUGUGCAAAGGUAGCAUAAUCAUUAGUCUUUUAAUUGAAGGCUGGUAUGAAUGGUUGGAUGAGGUGAAUUCUGUUUUAUAUUAAUUUAUAUUGAAUUUAGAUUUUAAGUAAAAAGACUUAAAUAAUAUUAAGGGACGAGAAGACCCUAUAGAGUUUAAUAAAUAUAUUAAUUAAUUGAGUUAUUAAUAUAAUUUUUGAUUAUUAAAAAGAUUUAUUUAAUUGGGGUGAUUAGAAGAUAAGUUUAACUCUUCUUUAUUUUUAAUAUUAUAAUUAGUUAUGUGAUCCAUAUUUAAUGAUUAAAAGAUUAAAUUACCUUAGGGAUAACAGCAUAAUUUUUUUUGAGAGUUCAUAUCGAGAAAAGGGAUUGUGACCUCGAUGUUGGAUUAAGAUUAGUUUUGGGUGCAGAUGUUCAAUAACUAGGUCUGUUCGACCUUGAUAAUCUUACAUGAUCUGAGUUUAAACCGGCGUGAGCCAGGUUGGUUUCUAUCUUUAAUUAAUUUAAAUAUUUUAGUACGAGAGGACCAAAUAUUUAAAAUAAUUUUUAUUUUUGGAGAAUGUUAUUAAUUGA